rnacentral:lncRNA from 1 species
GGCGCUCGAGGACUGUGCCCAGGAGCAGAUGCGGCUCAGAGCCCAGGUGCGCCUGCUUGAGACCCGGGUCAAACAGCAACAGGUCAAGAUCAAGCAGCUUUUGCAGGAGAAUGAAGUCCAGUUCCUUGAUAAAGGAGAUGAGAAUACUGUCAUUGAUCUUGGAAGCAAGAGGCAGUAUGCAGAUUGUUCAGAGAUUUUCAAUGAUGGGUAUAAGCUCAGUGGAUUUUACAAAAUCAAACCUCUCCAGAGCCCAGCAGAAUUUUCUGUUUAUUGUGACAUGUCCGAUGGAGGAGGAUGGACUGUAAUUCAGAGACGAUCUGAUGGCAGUGAAAACUUUAACAGGAUGGAAAGACUAUGAAAAUGGCUUUGGAAAUUUUGUCCAAAAACAUGGUGAAUAUUGGCUGGGCAAUAAAAAUCUUCACUUCUUGACCACUCAAGACUACACUUUAAAAAUCGACCUUGCAGAUUUUGAAAAAAAUAGCCGUUAUGCACAAUAUAAGAAUUUCAAAGUUGGAGAUGAAAAGAAUUUCUACGAGUUGAAUAUUGGGGAAUAUUCUGGAACAGCUGGAGAUUCCCUUGCGGGGAAUUUUCAUCCUGAGGUGCAGUGGUGGGCUAGUCACCAAAGAAUGAAAUUCAGCACGUGGGACAGAGAUCAUGACAACUAUGAAGGGAACUGCGCAGAAGAAGAUCAGUCUGGCUGGUGGUUUAACAGGUGUCACUCUGCAAACCUGAAUGGUGUAUACUACAGCGGCCCCUACACGGCUAAAACAGACAAUGGGAUUGUCUGGUACACCUGGCAUGGGUGGUGGUAUUCUCUGAAAUCUGUGGUUAUGAAAAUUAGGCCAAAUGAUUUUAUUCCAAAUGUAAUUUAAUUGCUGCUGUUGGGCUUUCGUUUCUGCAAUUCAGCUUUGUUUAAAGUGAUUUGAAAAAUACUCAUUCUGAACAUAUCCAUGCGCAAUCAUGAUAACUGUUGUGAGUAGUGCUUUUCAUUCUUCUCACUUGCCUUUGUUACUUAAUGUGCUUUCAGUACAGCAGAUAUGCAAUAUUCACCAAAUAAAUGUAGACUGU